rnacentral:lncRNA from 1 species
UCAGAACAAGUCAAUUCAUCAUAGGCCUGAACAAAUAUCUUGAAGCUCUAAACCAUGGUUUUGGAGUUGGCAUGAGAUUCAAGAUGCAGUUUGAGGUCGAGGAUUCUCCAGAGAAGAGGUUGCCACUUGCCAUGUAUUCAAAAGUAAAUCUCAUUGCUAUUGUCAUGGAAUUGAUCUAAUUUGUCCCUUUUUUUCCCACAUUAUCAGGUUCUCAGGUACAAUAACAGGAGUCGAAGAUAUUUCUCCUCACUGGGAAGAUUCUAAAUGGCGAUCACUGAAGGUUAGUGUAUUUCUUGAUGUUCUUUUGAUUAAAUUAGCAUAUGGAAUUACUCAAACUCUAUGCUGUUCUCGUGUUUUCAGGUUCAGUGGGACGAACCUGCAUCCAUUCCAAGACCUGAAAGGGUUUCUCCAUGGGAGAUAGAACCAUUUGUGGCUUCAGUUCCCACAAGCCUGGUUCAACCAUCGGCAGCAAAAAAUAAAAGGCCAAGAUUGCAUGUUGAAACCCCAGUUCCUGGUUCAACAUUCUUGCAUACCCUUUUUUCCCAAACUUUCUAGCAUUUUUAUGUAUUAGGACUUCAUUUAAUUUUGUUGCUAUUUCCUAUGUGGUAGAUACUCCAAGUUCAACAGCAUCAGCUGUGUGGAAUCCGUCCCGCGAAUCACAUCAAGUAAUGGGCUCUCUUGAAGAACAAAGGAGUGAACAAGUUGACACUGGUGGCACUCUCAUCAGAAACAGAAACGGCAACACUUCUGGAACUCUUUUAGAGGGAGACUGGCUAUCUCCUGAUGUGAAUUCGUCUCUUAAUAUGUUUUCUGAAGAAACAGAAGAGAGCAAAAGUGCAUCGGCUUGGUCUAUUUUUUCAAACUGUUCAGCCCCAAAUUCUGGAAAACGGAGUAAUAGUCGCAUUUCUUGCCUGAAUGAUGGGAGGAAAUUAGAUGCGUCUGCAACUUGCAGAUUAUUUGGUAUUGAUUUGAACAGCCCUUUGACGGGUGCUGCCCUUCUCGAGAAAUCCUCUCUAAAAUCAGUUGAUAAACUAAAUGAUGCUUCUGAAGGAUGCGUCUCAAAUCAACGGCAGCAGUUACAAGUACCAGUAAAGGAGGUUCCUAGCAGACAGAAUCACUCCACUAGAAGUCGCACCAAGGUAUAAUUUCACCUUCUACUUUUAACAACAAAGUAUUAUUGAUUGAGCGUUUACUGAAUUGAAAGAGUAAUUAAUAAUAACUAUUUGUUUCUUUGGUGUGAAAUACUUUGAGAAGGUUCAAAUGCAAGGUGUUGCUGUGGGUCGUGCUGUGGACCUAACUGCGUUAAAGGGAUACGAUGAGCUUAUAAGUGAAAUUGAAGAGAUGUUCGAAAUAAAGGGUGAGCUUCAGCUCCGACAUAAUUGGGAGAUUGUUUUCACUGAUGACGAAGGAGACAUGAUGCUUAUGCGCGAUUAUCCAUGGCUGUACGUAUUAUUUGUAUUUUUCAUCUAGACAUAUCAUCUACUUCAACGGUUAUAUGAUACUAUUAUUUUCUUGCAGAGAAUUCUGUGAUAAGGUGCAGAGGAUUUUCAUCUAUUCUAGCCAAGAUGUGAAAAAAAUGAGAGCAGGAAGCAAGCUUCCUCUAUCUUCGACAGACAACUGAAGGAGAUGCUUUAACUUGGAAGUUGGUGAAGAUUAAAAUUAAAUUAAUUUCACAUUUUCUUGUUCAUCCCUGCUUUUUCCUUUUAAUUUGUUUUUCAAUGGAAAAAGCUUCAGUUUUUCGCUGUUGUAGAGGUCUUGAGGAAUUUCUUGUUUGUUUCUCUGAUUCUGUGUCAUCAAGAUGGAUGGCUAUAGAUAUGGAUGUAGCAUCAGGCUAACAACCAAGAAAACUAGCUGUUUGCGACUAGAAAUUUUACGAGUAAUCGGGGGUGGGAUUAGGAUUAGAAUCUGUGUAUAUCAGAGGUGUUUCCGGUGGAUUUGGAUGUAAAUAUAAAUUUCUUGGCAUCUGGUUUAUAAAUUGCCAGGUUCUUUUGGAAAUGUGUACUUCAAUAAUCCAGGGCAUUUCAUUUUCUUC